UGAGAAGAGAGAGAGAGAGAGAGAGAGAGAGAGUUU
rnacentral:sRNA from 1 species